AAGAGGCGUUCUCACACUCCCCACCAGCCCCUAGCCGUCCUACUUGGCCAGCAUCACUGGCCUGGCCAAGGCCAAGGCCAGCCUGCAUGGGCCCACCCCUUCUGAAAACACGCUGUCUUUCCUGCUCACCUCUGCCCAGAGGGAUUCAGUGGGAAUCAUCUGCCGCAGGGUCACUUAUUUCUCAUUGCUGCCGGGAAUCAGCACAGGGAGUGUCAAGAGCAACAGACCAUUUUCUUGGCUUUGCCAGAAGAGAACAUCAGUGCCAGAGUUGAGACCAGAAAACUUAGACUUGAGGUGAAGCAACUCACUGGAAGUCCAUGCUUUCCCCAACACAUGGCCACCAUUCCUAACCAGGGCCCUGACGUGAAUGACUGUGCACGGAAGAAUCCGGGGACGCGGGCCAAGGCAAAUGUCUUCCCCACUCAGGGAGUACCCGAUUGCCAGCCCUGCUGCUGGGGCUGGAGCAUUUCUCCCCACACAAAGGAAAGGUCAAGAAGCUGCUGAAUUGCAUUUUCCUCCCGCCUAGCCAUGUGUCUCUGAAGAUGAGUCAUUCCCUUUCCUCUCCUGCCUUCCCGCCUCCCUCCCUCCCUCGCUCCUCCACCCAGUCAUUGGAUCUGGGAGGAACUGCUGCCCAGCCUGCUGCCCAGGCCUCUCUGCAAGGGGUGGGCUCCCAGGUCCCUCAGCAGGGCCUGGAGCCCCGGCGGUCAGCCUCCUUCGUUUACUCUCCUGAAGUAUCUAUCUGGCAGCUCCCAUGUCUCAGGGACCGUGCUGGGCGCACAGGGGUGAGGACCACGAUUCCUACACUCAUAGGCCUGGAGCUGAGUUGAGGAGAGGAGUAUUAAACCCCUAAUCAUAUGCAGUUAGCACUGUGAUGUGUGUUAUACAGAAGAAAGUACAGAGAGCUUUGAGAAGGCGUGAGGAGCUGCACAUCUGGAUGGAGUGGGGGAUGGUUAGGAAGCCCUCCAGGAACUGAGUAUUGAAAUGAGCCCUAAGGGAUAGAGGAGUGGGGAAAGCAGGGAGAGGAACCAGCAUGUGCAAAGGUCCUGUUGUCAAAAGAAGCUGGGUACUUUAAAGAAACAGCAAGAAAGGGUGUGGUGGACAUGCAGUAAACACGGGGAAAAGGGAAAGAGGAUGAGGCUGAAAUGAAAGGAGGGGCCAGACCAUGUGGGGCCUUGAAGAUCACGCUAAAGAACCUCAAAAUCGAUCCCAAAGGCCAUUUGGCCGUUUCUUACAAAGUUAAACCUGUACUUACCGUGUAUUCCACUUGCUGUAUUUACCCAAAAGAAAUAAAACAAUAUGUGCACAAAAAGACUUGUAU